rnacentral:rRNA from 1 species
UACGGGGGAGCAAGCGUUGUUCGGAUUUACUGGGCGUAAAGGGCGCGUAGGCGGCCACCGCAAGUCGGUUGUGAAAUCUCUGGGCUUAACCCAGAAAGGUCAACCGAUACUGCGGGGCUAGAGUGCAGAAGGGCAACUGGAAUUCUCGGUGUAGCGGUGAAAUGCGUAGAUAUCGAGAGGAACACCUGCGGCGAAGGCGGGUUGCUGGGCUGACACUGACGCUGAAGCGCGAAAGCUAGGGAGCGAACGGG